GCCCCUCUGCACAAGUUAGUAGAAUUUCUAUUAUCAUAAGAAUUUCUUUGUGCCCUGAUAUCAAUAGAGAAAGUCUUUGACCAGCAUUAGCUUGAUUAGCUACUACAACAGAAGAAGAUUCUCCAGGAAACUUAGAGAUAUUAACCAUUUCUCACUGCUUUUCUUCUUAACUUAAAACUGCAUAAGCACUUGAAAUAGAGGGUAAUUGAG
rnacentral:lncRNA from 1 species